CUUUCUUUAAUUCUUAUGGGGGGGUUUUUACAUAUUUUACUAGUUUCAAAGUGUCAGAGAUAAACCUGUCUUCUAUACCCAGCACUCUUAUUCCCUUAACCACCUCCACCUCCCUCCCCCAUCAUCCUUGUUCUUCCUCAUCUCUACCUGCACUAUUGUACAUCUCUGGAACAGCUACUGUUGUCUCUUUUGGAAAAUUGCCUGUUUGUAUGACUGGGAAAACUACUUCUUUUUAUUGUAAUGUAUUUGAAAUGUACAGAACAUGUGGUGAGUAAUAUAGUAAACUCCAUACACCUACUAGCCAGAUCAAUAGAACUAAACAUUUUACCAUCUUCAGUCUAAUGUUAUUGCUGAGAAAGUAAAACAUAGGAUGGAGUUGAAGCUCUCUGUGUAACCAUCCCUUGAUCUCACUGCCUUGGUCUUUCCCUUAGAGAUCAACACUGUCCUGAAUUUGGUGUUUGCUACUUCCAUGCAUAUUAU
rnacentral:lncRNA from 10 species